UACGUAGGGCGCAAGCGUUGUCCGGAAUUAUUGGGCGUAAAGAGCGUGUAGGCGGCCAGACAGGUCCGUUGUGAAAACUCGAGGCUCAACCUCGAGAUGUCGAUGGAAACCGUCUGGCUAGAGUCCGGAAGAGGAGUGUGGAAUUCCUGGUGUAGCGGUGAAAUGCGCAGAUAUCAGGAGGAACACCGGUGGCGAAGGCGGAUCUCUGGGCCUUACCUGACGCUCAGGCGCGAAAGCUAGGGGAGCGAACUGG
rnacentral:rRNA from 1 species